rnacentral:rRNA from 1 species
GACGAACGCUGGCGGCGUGCCUAAUACAUGCAAGUCGAGCGGACCAAUUAGAAAGCUUGCUUUUUGAUUGGUUAGCGGCGGACGGGUGAGUAACACGUGGGUAACCUGCCCUAUAGACCGGGAUAACUCGCGGAAACGCGUGCUAAUACCGGAUAACACACCGAAGCGCAUGCUUCGGUGUUGAAAGAUGGUUCUGCUAUCACUAUAGGAUGGGCCCGCGGCGCAUUAGCUAGUUGGUGGGGUAACGGCCUACCAAGGCGACGAUGCGUAGCCGACCUGAGAGGGUGAUCGGCCACGCUGGGACUGAGACACGGCCCAG